CAGACGGGUCCCUGCUGCUGGACUGAAGUCAUCAAACAGAAGAUUUGUUGGACAUCAAGCUGGACCAUCAGCUAAAUCUUCUCAAACAGGUGAUUCUUCACUCCUCUCACUGGAGCAGCUGUUGAAGGUUUCAGAGUCGACUCACCUACGACUCGCUCCAGUUUGAGGGCCUCAACAUCACUGUGGGAGAGCUGAAGCGGCAGAUCAUGAG